UCCCUGGUAGUUCAGUGGUAAAGAAUCUGCCUGCCAAGGCAGGAGAUGCAGGUUCAAUCCCUGAUCUGGGAA
rnacentral:tRNA from 1 species